AUCAUUCAAGUUUACUCUUGACUAUAAAGAUAUUUAUUUAUUACAUGAAAUUUCAGAACGGCGCCUAUAUAGAUGAUUCUGACUGCCUAAUCUCGGAAAUUUAGCAAUGGACUUCACAUCGAUGAUGCAGAUUAUGAGCUAUAUUUGUGCAGUAAUUUUCACUUUUGCUGCAACACUUGUAAAAGCUGACUACUGCUACCAUUGUACUCAUUCCAUUACACACGAAGUGAUGACCAGUAUGGAUGAGGUCUGCUCCGAGACAGGGGUACAUGUGCAUUGUGCCUUUGGAUGUCGGGUAACAAGAACAUUUGACGUCCAGAAGGUGGAAUCUACCAUUCACCGGGGGUGUGCAACUACAUCAGAUUGUCAAAAGUAUUUCGCAAUCAAGGGGAAAUCGUUGAAUCUAAGUAUUUGCUGCUCCGGUGAUUUUUGCAACAAGCAGAAGUAUGAAUUGAUGAUAUUAAUAAGCUUAGUGGUAAUAUUUCUUAGCAUCUUUUUACAAUUUGUGUAUAAUGUAUUCAUGAGGCUUUUAUACUUCGCAUUGUUCUUGUUCUUGAGUAUUAUGAUAACAUGUUUUGCCUUGUAUUAUUUUCUAUGAAUGAUUGUGACUGUUAAUUUGAUAGCGCGUGAUAGUAUAGUUUGAUAGUUCGGUAGAGUUUGUGCAAAUUUACGAAAGUUAAAGGUCAAGUCCAUCUCAGAAAAAUGUUGAUUUGAAUCAAUAGAGAAAAAUGAGACAAGCACAAU
rnacentral:lncRNA from 1 species